GACGAACGCUGGCGGCGUGCUUAACACAUGCAAGUCGAACGGAAAGGCCCUGCUGUUGUGGGGUGCUCGAGUGGCGAACGGGUGAGUAACACGUGAGUAACCUGCCCUUGACUUUGGGAUAACUUCAGGAAACUGGGGCUAAUACCGGAUAGGAGCUCCUGCUGCAUGGUGGGGGUUGGAAAGUUUCGGCGGUUGGGGAUGGACUCGCGGCUUAUCAGCUGGUUGGUGGGGUAGUGGCUUACGAAGGCUUUGACGGGUAGCCGGCCUGAGAGGGUGACAGGCCACAUUGGGCCUGAGAUACGGCCCAGACUCCUACGGGCGGCAGCAGUGGGGAAUAUUGCACGAUGGGCGGAAGCCUGAUGCAGCAACGCCGCGUGCGGGAUGACGGCCUUCGGGUUGUAAACCGCUUUCGCCUGUGACGAAGCGUGAGUGACGGUAAUGGGUAAAGAAGCAACGGCUAACUACGUG
rnacentral:rRNA from 1 species